rnacentral:misc_RNA from 1 species
GCGUCUGGCAGGCCAUGUGCUGGUCGAAGGCCGUCGCCGCAAGGCGAAGUACGGCGUGGUCACGAUGUGCGUCGGCGGCGGCAUGGGCGCUGCCGGCCUGUUCGAAAUCCUGCAGUAAGCAUCGCACGGCCGGCCCGUUCUCUCUGUUCAGAGAGGACGGGCCGGAAAGCGUCCGGACGUAAGGGCACUCGAAUCUUUUGACUGCCGAAUUGCCUCCCGCCUGUGCCGGUCUACAAUCACCGGACAGAACAAGAGGCCGAAAUCCCGGACUGUUAUUUCCAGUCAGACUCCAAGGAGGACCCCCGUGGAUCUCAAUUUCACCCAGGAAGAAAACGCAUUUCGCGACGAAGUGAGGAAGUUCUUCCGCGAAAGCAUUCCGCCCGCGAUGCACAAGAAGCU